rnacentral:rRNA from 1 species
GACGAACGCUGGCGGCGUGCUUAACACAUGCAAGUCGAGCGGUAAGGCCCUUUCGGGGGUACACGAGCGGCGAACGGGUGAGUAACACGUGGGUGACCUGCCCUUAGCUCUGGGAUAAGCCUGGGAAACUGGGUCUAAUACCGGAUAUGACUCCAUGACGCAUGUUGUGGGGUGGAAAGCCUUGUGCGGCUAGGGAUGGGCCCGCGGCCUAUCAGCUUGUGGUGGGUGAUGGCCUACCAAGGCGACGACGGGUAGCCGGCCUGAGAGGGCGACCGGCCACACUGGGACUGAGACACGGCCCAGACUCCUACGGGAGGCAGCAGUGGGGAAUCUUGCGCAAUGGCGAAAGCCUGACGCAGCGACGCCGCGUGAGGGAUGACGGCCUGGUUGUAACGUACUU